GAUGAACGCUGGCGGCGUGCCUAAUACAUGCAAGUCGAGCGAACGGACGAGAAGCUUGCUUCUCUGAUGUUAGCGGCGGACGGGUGAGUAACACGUGGAUAACCUACCUAUAAGACUGGGAUAACUUCGGGAAACCGGAGCUAAUACCGGAUGAUAUUUUGAACCGCAUGGUUCAAAAGUGAAAAACGGUCUUGCUGUCACUUAUAGAUGGAUCCGCGCUGCAUUAGCUAGUUGGUAAGGUAACGGCUUACCAAGGCAACGAUGCAUAGCCGACCUGAGAGGGUGAUCGGCCACACUGGAACUGAGACACGGUCCAGACUCCUACGGGAGGCAGCAGUAGGGAAUCUUCCGCAAAGGGCGAAAGCCUGACGGAGCAACGCCGCGUGAGUGAUGAAGGUCUUCGGAUCGUAAAACUCUGUUAUUAGGGAAGAACAUAUGUGUAAGUAACUGUGCACAUCUUGACGGUACCUAAUCAGAAAGCCACGGCUAACUACGUG
rnacentral:rRNA from 1 species